CGCGGGGACAGGAACCACCCUCUGCAUCUCCAAGGGAGGUAGAGGGCCACCAGGAGGGACAAGAAUGAGGAUGAGGGCCACCAGGAGGGACAAGAGCCAUCACACGGGGACACUCCAGCAUCUCCAAGGGAGGUAGAGGGCCACCAGGAGGGACAAGAACAAGGAUGAGGGCCACCAGGAGGGACAAGAGCCAUCACGCAGGGGACAGCAACCACCCCCAGCGUCCCCGAGGGAGGCCAAGGGCCACCAGGAGGGACAAGAACAAGGAUGAGGGCCACCAGGAGGAACAAGAGCCAUCACGCAGGGGACAGCAACCACCCCCAGCGUCCCCAAGGGAGGCCAAGGGCCACCAGGAGGAACAAGAGCCAUCACGCGGGGACAGGAACCACCUCCAGCGUCCCCGAGGGAGGCCAAGAGCCACCAGGAGGGACAAGGGCCAUCAUGUGGGGACAGGAACCACCUCCAGUGUCCCCCAGGGAGGAUGAGGGCCACCAGGAGGGACAAGGGCCAUCAUAUGGGGACAGGAACCACCUCCAGCAUCCCCGAGGGAGACCAAGGGCCACCAGGAGGGCCAAGGGCCAUCAUGUGGGGACAGGAACCAACCUCUGCAUCCCCCAGGGAGGAUGA
rnacentral:lncRNA from 1 species